GUGGAAAAGCAUUUAAGUUUGUCUGAAUGAUCACACCUUCUCCAAUUUUGUUUGAGGUCUUUAGGUGUUGUAGAUCUUCAAUGACAGUGCAGUCUGAAUCAGCAGAACAUCUGGUGUCCUCUUCUGCAUCUGCAUUAUUAUCUUUAGCACAGGUCAAUGCUGUUAAGUUUCCAGAAACACUAGAAUCUGGGGUGUUUCUGUUAUUAGUGCUGAUUUUAUCAAUACUGUUACUGCUUGAAGGGCUAACUAAAUAUUUUUUCUUUUUACAUGUAGAACUGGCUUGAAACACUGAGAAACCAGCUGGAGCAGUCUCAACUAACCUUAACUCUAAACUGCAACCAGCCUGCCCCUCAUUGUUUACUGGGCCAUCUGGUUCAUUAGGGCUGACACAAGCCUGACUGCAGCUGAGUUGUGUCUUUCCAUUGUUUUCUCUUUGCUGUACUUGUUUGGUUGGUGCGUCUAGUUUGUCAUUCUGAGGAUGACAUUUCACAAAGGAUGAUACAGUGGAAAUGACGGUCUCUUCAGAGCUUUCAAAUGCCUCUGAGCUUGUCAGAUUGUUCAGAGUGUCUAUAUUGGUCUGAGACCACUCAGAAGUAUUAUCCAUUGUGAUAGGCUCAUUGGCGAAGGUAAGCAGUAGCGUGGACGUUUGCUUUUGUGGGCCAUCAUCAAAACAAGACUGAGCUGUGACUGAUUUGCUUGACAUUUGACUACUUGAAUAAGUCACUUUUAAUGCCUCACCUGUUACAUUUAACUGCCCUAACACUUUUUCUCCCACCUUAGGCUCUGGACUACAGGUGAGUCCUUGGUCAUAGAUUAGACCAAUAAGCAAAGAUGGUGAUCCAGUGUCAGCUGAUUCAAGAGAUGUCUCCUUAGAUACUGGGAGCAAGAAGAGAAAUACUGCAUUCCUCAUUUGAAAGACUCUGAGUAUGUGAGGUCUGUGUAUCUUCACAAAAGACCACCUUUCGGCCAACAGCAGGAUCUGGAUGGUGAUCAUACACAUUUCUUUUCAGAUGAGAGGGAGAACCAUCUGGUCUUCUUUUAGUUAUGCUGCCACUAACAUCGUUCAUCACAGAGACACUGUUUAAGUCAAAGUUGAGUAAAUAAUCUAAAAAUGCACUUGUCUUGCUUGACACUGUGAUCCGUCUGAUCUUUUUUCUUGCCAUAGUUUCACGAUUAUCUCUGGAACCAUCCAAGACCCUCUUUUUUUUAUUUUUAGAGCUAUCCCUCCAUGAGCCUUUGUACUGAUGUGGAUUACUUUCAUUAACAACUGAAACCAAGUUCUGAAAUAAAUGUACAGAUGUUUUAAGCAUUAAACAUUUGGAAAACA